rnacentral:rRNA from 1 species
GACGAACGCUGGCGGCGUGCCUAAUACAUGCAAGUUGAGCGCUGAAGGUUGGUACUUGUACCGACUGGAUGAGCAGCGAACGGGUGAGUAACGCGUGGGGAAUCUGCCUUUGAGCGGGGGACAACAUUUGGAAACGAAUGCUAAUACCGCAUAAAAACUUUAAACACAAGUUUUAAGUUUGAAAGAUGCAAUUGCAUCACUCAAAGAUGAUCCCGCGUUGUAUUAGCUAGUUGGUGAGGUAAAGGCUCACCAAGGCGAUGAUACAUAGCCGACCUGAGAGGGUGAUCGGCCACAUUGGGACUGAGACACGGCCCAAACUCCUACGGGAGGCAGCAGUAGGGAAUCUUCGGCAAUGGACGAAAGUCUGACCGAGCAACGCCGCGUGAGUGAAGAAGGUUUUCGGUUCGUAAAACUCUGUUGGUAGAGAAGAACGUUGGUGAGAGUGGAAAGCUCAUCAAGUGACGGUAACUACCCAGAAAGGGACGGCUAACUACGUG